UACAGAGGGGGCAAGCGUUAUUCGGAAUUAUUGGGCGUAAAGGGCGCGUAGGCGGCUUGGCAAGUGGAUGGUGAAAUCCCUCGGCUUAACCGAGGAACUGCCGUCCAAACUGCUUCGCUUGAGACCGGGAGAGGUGAGUGGAAUUCCCAGUGUAGAGGUGAAAUUCGUAGAUAUUCGGAAGAACACCAGUGGCGAAGGCGGCUCACUGGUCCGGUACUGACGCUGAGGUGCGAAAGCGUGGGGAGCAAACAGG
rnacentral:rRNA from 1 species